rnacentral:SRP_RNA from 1 species
GUCAGGCAUUCUAGUUUGUGCCUAUAGACCCAGCUACUCAGGAGGCUGAGGCAGGAGGAUCACUUGAGUCCAGUAGUUCUGGGCUAUAGUGCUCUAUGCUGAUUGGGUCUCCACAAUAAAUUCUGAAUCAACAUAGUGACCUCCCACCUCCCAGGAGUCGGGGACCAUAGGUUGCUUAAGAAGGGGUGAACUGGCCCAGGUCAGAAAUGGGGCAGGUCAAAACUCCAGUACUGAUCAGUAGUGGGAUUGUAUUUGUGAGUAGCCAUUGCACUCCAGCCUGAGCAACAUAGUGAGACCUCAUUUCUA